rnacentral:tmRNA from 1 species
CGGCUUUUCUUUGCUGCACAAGCCCCUAUAUUGGGCUUGCCGGUCUCGUGCCGGCUAUGGCGAUAAACUGCGGCGUGCAAUAGGCGCAGCGGACCCGGGGGCAGUACCCGGCGGCUCCACCACCACCCGUCCGAACGGCGGAUGAUGACGGGGCCGAACCAGGAUCGACGUGUGUUGAAAAGCGCAGCUUUCGCCCGGAAUGGGACCACCGAAACGGCCCAUAUUCACAAGUGCCAACGAUAACGAGGCGCUCGCGAUUGCGGCCUAACCAAAGACCUCACGGUCUAGGUUAGAACGACAAAAGCGCGGUUGGACCGCACCGGGCAACAGAAGCGGAUUCCG